rnacentral:rRNA from 1 species
CAGGGAAUCUUCCACAAUGGGCGAAAGCCUGAUGGAGCAACGCCGCGUGUGUGAUGAAGGGUUUCGGCUCGUAAAACACUGUUGUAAGAGAAGAAUGACAUUGAGAGUAACUGUUCAAUGUGUGACGGUAUCUUACCAGAAAGGAACGGCUAAAUACGUGCCAA